rnacentral:piRNA from 1 species
UGUAUAAAGGUGGUAGAAACUAUUUUUGCU